rnacentral:misc_RNA from 1 species
GAUGAAGAACGUAGCGAAAUGCGAUAAGUAAUGUGAAUUGCAGAAUUCAGUGAAUCAUCGAAUCUUUGAACGCACAUUGCGCCCGCCAGUAUUCUGGCGGGCAUGCCUGUUCGAGCGUCAUUUCAACCCUCAAGCCCCCGGGCUUGGUGUUGGGGAUCGGCGUGCCCUCGCGGCGCGCCGUCCCCUAAAUCUAGUGGCGGUCUCGCUGUAGCUUCCUCUGCGUAGUGGCAACACUCGCACUGGAUCGCAGCGCGGCCACGCCGUUAAACCCCCCACUUCUGAAAGUUUGACCUCGGAUCAGGUAGGAAUACCCGCUGAACUUAAGCAUAUCAAUAAGCGGAGG